GAGCCUUCUUGUCUGCUCCCCCUCUCGAAUCCUUGGAACCUAGGUGUGAGUGCUGCUCUAGUGCAACACACCUAUUCAAGGAUUCAAAGAGGCUGAGC
ensembl:miRNA MIR362 microRNA mir-362